rnacentral:rRNA from 1 species
UACGAGGGGGGCGAGCGUUGUUCGGAAUCACUGGGCGUAAAGCGUGCGUAGGCGGUCUUGAAAGUUAGGAGUGAAAGCCCCAGGCUCAACUUGGGAAUUGCUCUUAAUACUCCAGGACUCGAAUUCGGGAGAGGAUAGCGGAAUUGUCAGUGUAGCAGUGAAAUGCGUAGAUAUUGACAGGAACACCAGUGGCGUAAGCGGCUAUCUGGACCGACAUUGACGCUGAGGCACGAAAGCGUGGGGAUCAAACAGG